rnacentral:rRNA from 1 species
AUUGAACGCUGGCGGCAGGCCUAACACAUGCAAGUCGAGCGGAGCGGCGGACGGGUGAGUAAUGCCUAGGAAUCUGCCUGGUAGUGGGCGAUAACGUCCGGAAACGGGCCCUAAUACCGCAUACUAUCAGAUGAUCCUAGGUCGGAUUAGCUAGUUGGUGGGGGAAAGGCCUACCAGGGCGACGAUCCGGAACUGGUCUGCGAGGAUGAUCAGUCACACUGGAACUGGUAAACGGUCCGGACUCCUACGGGAGGCAGCUGUGGGGACUAUUGGACAAUGGGCGAAAGCCUGAGGCAGCCAUGCCGCGUGUGUGAGAAAGGUCUUCGGAUUGUAAAGCACUUUAAGUUGGGAGGCGUUACCAACAGAAUAAGCACCGGCUAACUUCGUGCCAGCAGCCGCGGUAAUUC